rnacentral:rRNA from 1 species
GAGUUGAUCCUGGCUCAGAAUCAACGCUGGCGGCGUGCCUCAGACAUGCAAGUCGAACGAUUAAACUUUCCUUCGGGAAAGAUAUAAAGUGGCGCACGGGUGAGUAACACGUAGGUAAUGUACCUUUGGGUGGGGAAUAACUUAGGGAAACUUAAGCUAAUACCGCAUAAUGCAGCGGCUCCUUCGGGAGACAGUUGUUAAAGAUUUAUCGCCUAAAGAGCAGCCUGCGGCAGAUUAGCUAGUUGGUAAGGUAACGGCUUACCAAGGCUACGAUCUGUAUCCGACCUGAGAGGGUGGUCGGACACACUGACACUGAAUAACGGGUCAGACUCCUACGGGAGGCAGCRGUCGGGAAUUUUGGGCG